UAGGGAAUCUUCGGCAAUGGACGAAAGUCUGACCGAGCAACGCCGCGUGAGUGAAGAAGGUUUUCGGAUCGUAAAAACUCUGUUGUUAGAGAAGAACAAGGAUGAGAAGAGAAUGUUCAUCCCUUGACGGUAUCUAACCAGAAAGCCACGGCUAACUACGUGCCAGCAGCCGCGGUAAUCGUAGGUGGCAAGCGUUGUCCGGAUUUAUUGGGCGUAAAGCGAGCGCAGGCGGUUCUUUAAGUCUGAUGUGAAAG
rnacentral:rRNA from 1 species